rnacentral:rRNA from 1 species
AUUGAACGCUGGCGGCAUGCCUUACACAUGCAAGUCGAACGGCAGCACGGGAGCUUGCUCCUGGUGGCGAGUGGCGAACGGGUGAGUAAUACAUCGGAACGUACCCAGUAGUGGGGGAUAACGCACCGAAAGGUGCGCUAAUACCGCAUACGACCUACGGGUGAAAGCGGGGGACCGUAAGGCCUCGCGCUAUUGGAGUGGCCGAUGUCUGAUUAGCUAGUUGGCGGGGUAAUAGCCCACCAAGGCGACGAUCAGUAGCUGGUCUGAGAGGACGAGCAGCCACACUGGGACUGAGACCCGGCCCAGACUGCUACGGGGGGCAGCAGUGGGGAAUUUUUGACAAUGGGGGCAACCCUGAUCCAGCAAUGCCGCGUGUGCGAAGAAGGCCUUCGGGUUGUAAAGCACUUUUGUCAGGGAAGAAAUCUUUCAGGCUAAUACCCUUGGAAGGAUGACGGUACCUGAAGAAUAAGCACCGGCUAACUACGUGCCAGCCGCCGCGGUAA